rnacentral:lncRNA from 13 species
GUUUAUUAAAGCGCAAGGUGGUGGGUGGAGGGCUCUGGAGUGUUUGAAUCCAGUUAGGACCCCCACUGCUGUAAAUUGAGACGUGUGAACUGCCUGCCGAAAGAGGAGCUGGCGUUUUCCUGGCUGGGCUCCAGGGGACAGGCUGUCAUCAGCUUCAGUGAACGAUCCCAGCUCCUUUCCCUUUGCUGGCUUCGUACUUAUUUUAGUCUGUUCUGCGUGCAUUUCGUAAAUAAGGUUCAAUCAAGGAGUGACCUGGCUUCUGCCUCAGCAAACAAAGCCUGGGUGACAUCGAGACUCUGUGUUAAAAAAAAAAAAUUGGAUUUUUUAAAUGGGACUGUGGGUGUGGAAGGCGAGCUCUGGUACACAGAGGACAGAAACCAGUUGUUUCAAGCAUUAUGGGGUGAGUUUCUUAGCGUUUCCUAAAUACUGUAUCCGCCGUAGCUUUCCUCAUAUGGUACAUGAAGAAACACAUUGAUACUACAAUAAAGGAAAAUACCACCUGACCUGGUUAUGUUGU